CCCCCUCUCCAUGGGAUACCCUGUGGGUCUCUUCAGAGUCCCCACCAGCAAGAAGGCUCUUUCUCACCAGAUGUGUCUCCCCACCCAACCUUGGAUGUCUUAGUCUCCAGAACUCUUCCAUAUCUUCCUGAGGCACUGCAGCCUAAAUUGGAACUCUGGAGCAGGAAGCUUGAUCCCUGAAGGUAACCGCAAGCUGGGGCCAAUAGCUAAUCUGAGGAGACUGGAAAGCUCCUUAGAGCCAGAAGGUAAGAUACCUUUAUUCUAGUGGGCUCUGGAUAUUAAAAAGAAAAAAGUGAGAAAAGAAAGGACAGGCAGAAGGAAGGAGAAAAAGAAGGAAGGAAGGGGAAAAAAAGCUAUAGUCAUUGGAAAGUAGAUAAUACUC